rnacentral:lncRNA from 1 species
AUGUACUUUGCUUGGUUGUUGUUCAAGACUUCUAAGCACCCUCAAGUACAAUAGUUGAUGAUAUUUGAUGAUGAUAUUGGUGUAUGCUCACAUAGGAAUGGACGAGGCCUUAGUGACUUAAUAACAACGAAAGACUAUUUGUUUAUGUUUUGUUUCAAUUUCUAAUGUAAUGUAAUACAUUUGAUUUAAUAAAACGAAAUUAUU